AGGAAAAGAAACCAACAGGGAUUGCCCCAGUAACGGCGAGUGAAGCGGCAACAGCUCAAAUUUGAAAUCUGGCCCCUCGGGGCCCGAGUUGUAAUUUGCAGAGGAUGCUUUUGGCGAGGUGCCUUCCGAGUUCCCUGGAACGGGACGCCACAGAGGGUGAGAGCCCCGUCUGGUCGGACGCCGAGCCUCUGUAAAGCUCCUUCGACGAGUCGAGUAGUUUGGGAAUGCUGCUCUAAAUGGGAGGUAUAUGUCUUCUAAAGCUAAAUACCGGCCAGAGACCGAUAGCGCACAAGUAGAGUGAUCGAAAGAUGAAAAGCACUUUGAAAAGAGGGUUAAACAGUACGUGAAAUUGUUGAAAGGGAAGCGCUUACGACCAGACUUGGACCCGGCGAAUCAUCCAGCGUUCUCGCUGGUGCACUUCGCCGGGCUCCAGGCCAGCAUCAGUUCGCGCCGGGGGACAAAGGCUCGGGGAAUGUAGCUCCCCCGGGAGUGUUAUAGCCCCUUGCGCAAUACCCUGGGGCGGACUGAGGUUCGCGCAUCUCGCAAGGAUGCUGGCGUAAUGGUCGUCAGCGACC
rnacentral:rRNA from 1 species